AGCAGCCGCGGUAAUUCCAGCUCCAAUAGCGUAUAUUAAAGUUGUUGCAGUUAAAAAGCUCGUAGUUGGAUUUCGGGAUCAGUACGCUGGUCGUGCCUUCGGUAUGUACUGGUGUCACUGAUUCCUCCCUUCUGAUGAACCGUCAUGCCAUUUAUUUGGUGUGACGGGGAAUCAGGACUGUUACUUUGAAAAAUUAGAGUGUUUAAAGCAGGCUCACGCUUGAAUACAUUAGCAUGGAAUAAUGAAAUAGGACGUUUGAUUCUAUUUUGUUGGUUUCUAGGAUUGACGUAAUGAUUAAUAGGGAUAGUUGGGGGCAUUAGUAUUCAAUUGUCAGAGGUGAAAUUCUUGGAUUUAUUGAAGACUAACUACUGCGAAAGCAUUUGCCAAGGAUGUUUUCAUUAAUCAAGAACGAAAGUUAGGGGAUCGAAGACGAUCAGAUACCGUCGUAGU
rnacentral:rRNA from 1 species